rnacentral:rRNA from 1 species
AGCGAACGCUGGCGGCAGGCCUAACACAUGCAAGUCGAACGAACUCUUCGGAGUUAGUGGCGGACGGGUGAGUAACACGUGGGAACGUGCCUUUAGGUUCGGAAUAACUCAGGGAAACUUGUGCUAAUACCGAAUGUGCCCUUCGGGGGAAAGAUUUAUCGCCUUUAGAGCGGCCCGCGUCUGAUUAGCUAGUUGGUGAGGUAAAGGCUCACCAAGGCGACGAUCAGUAGCUGGUCUGAGAGGAUGAUCAGCCACAUUGGGACUGAGACACGGCCCAAACUCCUACGGGAGGCAGCAGUGGGGAAUCAUGCGCAAUGGGCGAACGCCUGACGCAGCCAUGCCGCGUGAAUGAUGAAGGUCUUAGGAUUGUAACAUUCUUUCACCGGGGACGAUAAUGACGGUACCCGGAGAAGAAGCCCCGGCUAACUUCGUGCCAGCCGCCGCAGUAA